rfam:TPA: Bos taurus chromosome 17, whole genome shotgun sequence.
ACCCUGGUGGUCCAGUGGCUAAGACUCCUUGCUCCCAAAGCAGGAGGCCUAGGUUUGAUCCCUGGUCAGGGAA